UCCAAGUUAGAGCUCUCGACCCGUUUACCCGACCUGACGAACUGCGUAGUGAUCGACCAGAACCUCUCCAUUCGGCGACGAUAGGGCGGUGCACCGGUACCGUUCGGUUCUUCUUGACGACGCCGACGUGCCUCUUGUCACGGAUCGUCCAUGCAGGGAACGAGGAGAGAAAAUCGAGGCUCGAAAGUUUCUAACUUUCUGGCGGUUCCGCAGCAUUUUCCGGCGAUCGUUUGUUGAUGCAUGAGGUAUGAAACAUGCUCUUCUCUUCGUGCUCUACAUGUUGGUGUAAAUGGAUUUUGGAAUUGAUAGAGUUUUGUUGGAUUGGUGUUUCGGGUGUUGUCGGCUGAUGUCGAGGCUACUGUUCCGGCAGAGUGUUCCAGAGUUCUUUGAUUCAAUUUUGAUGAUAAUUCUGGUCCUAGAACGAGCAGCGAGAGGUGGGUUGCAUUGAAAUUCAGAAUUGGUGUGGUGGAGCACAAUCGGGUAGCAGAACAAAGAGUUCGAAAGUCUGUGAAGUUUGAUAGUGAAAAGUCUGGUUUUGUUCUAAUUGGAACAAGACAUAGACAUGCAAAGGGAGAGAGAUUCAGAAGCUUGCCAGAGUUGGUAACUGGGUUUGAGUAUUCCUCGAUCAAUUCUUAAUCCCAGUUGGCUGUGCACUGAUCUUUUGUAAUGCUUAUAGCAUAGGAUUUCAACUUGGAGGUUUUAAAGACGGAUUGUAUAAUUGGACGAGGGCUGUCCAAGUUCAUUUUGAGUUCCACGGUGAAGAACCGGAGUGAUGGCGAAAUGUAUAAAGGAUGCAGAACCUCGGUGGGCUAAGAACUCCAACAAUUGCAAUGGAAGAGGUAUUCAUGGGACUCCAGUUACUCGGAACAUGAAAGAUUGUGGUGUUGGCCUAGAAGAGCGAAUGGAAUCAAAGCUACAAUAUUCCAGUUUGUGGAUGCAGGUACUGUGUAUGAAGACGGGAUAGCUGGACGAUGCUGGGUGUGGCUUAGUUACAUUAUAUUUCAAAUUAUGUCAUCGACGGAGUUAGAUCCGCAUGACAGGUUUUCUUGUUUCCUUUACUCCCUCACAAUUUGUUUAUCGAGUUUGUAAUUGUUCGUAAAGUACCCCUCUUGUAGAUUUUUCGGAUGGUGAUCUUGAACCGGACUAAUAUUCGAUAGUUGUUUUGAAAUGACUUGUAUUUGUUUUCUUUAAAGGAUUUCCGAUGGUUUUAUAGUUUUCACCUAACCUAAA